rnacentral:rRNA from 1 species
AUGUGGAUCCGCGGCACCGUGAGAGAGGUAACGUCGGCCGGUGCCUCACCACUGGCUAUUGUGGCGGCGGCAAGGAAAAGGGCGCCGAGGAUGUGCUGCUCUGUGCACGGUUUUGGUAGAUUUGAUUUAUCGGUGGCUAAGGCAGUGGUGAUGCCGCAGGAGCGCACGCUGAUCCAAUGGACAGGAGGGAAGCCGCUAACGCAUUCCGGCUAUCCCGGUGAGGUGUCUAAUAUAAGCUUGUGUUUUGAUCCAGCCGUGUCCCCCUAUUUCCAUGUGUUUUUGUUGCCGGCCGAGGAGGUGGAGGACCAACAUGACUUCUGUCUUACCGGGGUGCAUGUCUAUUCAUCUGAAACCGGGAGUUGGGUUCAUAAGGAGAAGAGAUGGAUCGGCAAUAUUGAUGUCGCUAAUGACCGGUCAACUAUCUAUCUUAAUGGUUAUCUGCGUUUCUGCGCCAUUGUUGAUGGUUCUGCCCGUCGUCUAGCUGCAGUGGACGAGGGGGGAGCAAGGACUAACUUUCAUAUUCCUGAUGGUCUGGAUAACUACAGUCGUUGCACAAGUGAUGUCUUAUUCGUGCUAUGGAGCAGUGGGCAUGGUACUUCCCAUGUUAGUCUUGCCUAUAAUGGUGCACAUACACUCUACUCCAAGGCGACUCUAAUUGUGUUAAUAAGAGAGGUAAUUCAACUUACUGCUGAGGCAUUUGCCUACUGGGAUGAUGUUCAACUCUGUUGGGAAAUUCAUGCUGGGAAGGACCCAAUAUGGCAGCUCGCCAAACUGCUAAAUAAUCUUUCCCAGGCCCUGGCGUUCCUUGGACACUGUAUUCAGCAAGAUUGUCAAAUGAUUGGUGCAGUUAAAGAAUUCAUGGCUGAAAUUUUCUCGCAAUGUAUUUCCCCUGCUCACCAUGAAGGACCUCAAGGACAUGGGCAACAGUGCCAUUUGGUCAUGGAGCUCCGUAGCAGCUGUUUCCCGAGUUGGUGGUUUUUAAACAUGGUUGAUUCUAACUACCGAGUACAUAGACAUCCAAACAAGAUCCUUGCCAUUCGAGGAUAUCUACAUCCUUGGGAUGAGCAUGCAACUAUUAAUGUCAAAACACGCACCUCAACAAGCAACCAUGUCGGCGCGUUUACCGGACCCGUGCACAGGACCAACAAGGCCCAAGAUACGGACCUAACUGCCAGACUUUCGUCAAGAAGAAAACCCAACCCGCAGUCAAGCACACGCGCCUCCCAUCGGCUGCCGCCCCCCUCCAAGAGCAUGGCUAUGCCCAUGGCCUUGGUCGUGCAGGUGCACCAUCGCCAAGGCCAUGGGUACGACGAUGGAUGGAUUUGGAGCUCCGUACAAGGUGGAUGCUUACUGGGACCUUCCUCUUGCCUCUUGCCUCUCCAUCUCAAUCCCCUCUCUGUCUUGUUUUAUGCAAAUGCGGUGGUCGACGACGCGUCCAGCCCUCCUGAUCCUCACCGAGAGAGGCCACCUUUACCGCAUCACCCCGACCGAUAG